rnacentral:rRNA from 1 species
ACGCUGGCGGCGUGCCUAACACAUGCAAGUCGAGCGAGCUUGCCUACAUGAAUUUGGUGCUUGCACCAAAUGAAACUAGAUACAAGCGAGCGGCGGACGGGUGAGUAACACGUGGGUAACCUGCCCAAGAGACUGGGAUAACACCUGGAAACAGAUGCUAAUACCGGAUAACAACACUAGACGCAUGUCUAGAGUUUAGAAGAUGGUUCUGCUAUCACUCUUGGAUGGACCUGCGGUGCAUUAGCUAGUUGGUAAGGUAACGGCUUACCAAGGCAAUGAUGCAUAGCCGAGUUGAGAGACUGAUCGGCCACAUUGGGACUGACACACGGCCCAAACUCCUACGGGAGGCACCAGUACGGAAUCUUCCACAAUGGACGCAAGUCUGAUGGAGCAACGCCGCGUGAGUGAAGAAGGGUUUCGGCUCGUAAAGCUCUGUUGGUAGAGAAGAAAGAUAGAGGCAGUAACUGGCCUUUAUUUGACGGUAAUUACUUAGAAAGUCACGGCUCACUACGUGCCAGCAGCCGCGGUAAUACGUAGGUGGCAAGCGUUGUCCGGAUUUAUUGGGCGUCUAG